GUGACCUCCUGCCUCAGUCUCCCAAGUAACUGGGACUACAGUCUCAUGAGAAAGAUUCUGGAAUGAUCCUAAAUGUAUAGACGAAAUAAUGGAAAAACACAGAUGCCACAUAACUUGACAGCAGGUGGUAGAGUCCAGACUUGAGCCCUGAAAUCCCUACAGAGCUUAUGUUUGAAAGGUGAAUUGGAGAAGUUCAGCUGAUAUGAGAAGAAGAUCUCAGUGGGAAGAGUAGAGUCAGGGAGACCAGUGAAGAGGCUGCUGCAGAGAUCUGGGUGCUCGUGAUUGAUAUGAAAAAGUGUACCAAGGUGAAGUGGUGGAGAGCGCUAUGAAAUAGCCAUGGGAGGAUCUAGAGGUGAGCAGAGCAGCUCUGUGGGCAACCUAAGGGCAGCGCCAUCCACAUCCCAACAGGACUCCAUCCUGGUGAGUGGUCAUAAACACAACAGUAAUCAGAAGCUACCAUUUCUAAGUGCUUACUACAUGUCAGGCACUGUACUAUGCCCUGUAGACCAUCUGCUCAUUUAGUUCCUUAGUUAGUAAAAAGCAGAGCCAGUACUAGAACCAAACCUGUCUGCUUCUAAAACCCAGGACCUAAGAACAAGCUCAUUCCAUUUUCUAAAGACAGAAGACAACACAUUUCACUUCUUCUUGGAGCUACGACACUGGGGUUAAGUGGUUCAUAAUGUUAACAGUUUCACCCAAUAAUCCAAAUUUUACUUUUCACUUCAUUCCAUUACUCUUAGGUCUACCCUCAAGAGACCCCCUCUCCUUCCCCAAUAAUACACACAAAAUCAAUUACAUCGUAGUAUCUGAUGCCAGUUGUGUUUAUACCAUAUAAGGGAGAAAAGUGUAUUUUUAUGAGUGGAGAUUUUGUUUUUCCAUUCGUUCCCUCCCAGGGGAUCUAAAUACUUUUUCUGAAGUUAGGCAUUGUGUGUGGCUUUGGAGCUGAGUUGGCAAGAGAAUGGAUACAUACUACACCUUAUUUAUUUUCUCUUCUAGGGAAGGGUCUCAGCUGUUUUUUCUCCUAAAUUGAAUUCUCUUAAAGAAUGACCCAAGCCGAGAAAUUUCCCAAACAUCUGAAAUCUGAGAAUUUGUGCCUGGAAUCCAUGAGGCUCAUGGUUUCCAGAUGGAGAGGCCGGAAGAAGAGGAGGCGGAGUUGUGGAGGAAGGAGGUGGAGGGAUAAAAGGCAGGGGAGCCUGAACUUUGGAUCACUUCUGGCUGCCUUGUGAACUAGGCCAGGUCUCUUAUUUGCUCUGCAAGUCUGCCAUUUGACAACGUGCCAGGCCUGAAGAUAGGCCGCCGCUGUGCAUGUCCUCCUGAGACUGUUCCGAUGAUUAUUAGGAAGUAAGUCAUUGUGAAAUUGUCUUUUCCAAGGGCAGUGACUGACCUUAGUAGCACAACAUAAAGAAAACCCCAUGGCUUGGUUAUCAAGAGGAGCAUAAACACUCCAGAUGGACUUUCUCUCCAUCCCCGAAAUGGCAAAAGACAGACACUUCUAGAAAUCUUGGCUUCCUCACACCACUUAACCAUAUGCAAUGGUGGACCUCCAGGUGACCUAAUUCUUCCUCCACAUGUCUUGUCCUCAUGCCAGAGGUGAGGGAGAGGGCUUACUAGGCAAGCUUGUUUUCAGUAAAUAACAGGAGAGUACAGUUUGGCCACAGUGGGCUAGGUAUGAUCACAGAAGGAAUGCCUGUGUUUGAUCAGCCAGGCCAGUAUCUUGUAGGCAAAUAUGAAUUUGGGGAAGAUAGAUCAGAACUCACCUGUUAGCAAAUGGGAAUUUAGUUUGAGUAUUGAAAAAAUGCAUGUUUUUAUUGUUAUCAGUGGCAUCUUUAUCAUCAUCCCCACCCCAAACUACCCCACUGACACUCCCCAUCACCCCUACACCACCAAGUCAGAGAGCAAUCUUGUUCCUCUAUCAGUUUUUUGCACUUAGAAUAGGCUGAAUCUGGCAAUAGGAUAUAGCAAUCCAACUGGGUCCAAAAGGUCUCAUAAUGUGUGGAGAGAAACCAAAUACAGAACAGUUACUUCCAAUUAACACCUCUAAUCUCCAGAUGUCCUAAUAAAAAUGGUGAGGCAGUAAAUGGCCACCCUUGAGCCAGAGAAUCAUACUUGGACUCAAGUGUUUUCAAGAGCGAGGCAAAGCAUCAACCUCUUCUUAACUUGAUUUCUCGGUCUGGAACACAUAAAUGUUUAAUACGACUCUGGCUGAGGGAAGAAAGCAAGCAGAGGUGGACAUAUCCUGUAACGGCAUGGCUUCAACAGAUCUCUCAUCACCCCCUGAGGUAUGAAGGGACGCUACCUGCCUCCACAAGCUGAGCAGUGCCCAGAAUCUAUGAACUUCUUUGGAGUAUGAUGUGAAUCUGGGGCCUGAGCCAGGCAUUAUCAUCAGGAAAAGGUGGAUGAUUUCCCUCAUCCUCACCUCUCCUUUUCCUAUU